rnacentral:miRNA from 1 species
GUACUUAGUAGAGCAGCCAC